GGACGAACGCUGGCGGCGUGCUUAACACAUGCAAGUUGAACGGUAUGACAUGGAAGCUUGCUGAAGUGUCAUAUAGUAGCGGACGGGUGAGUAAUGCAUGAGAAGCUGCCAUUGGGAGGGGGACAACAGUUGGAAACGGCUGCUAAUACCCCGUAUGCCGGAGGGUGAAAGGGAGUAAUCCGCCCGAUGAGGUGCUCAUGUCCUAUCAGCUGGUUGGUGGGGUAACGGCCUACCAAGGCGACGACGGGUAGCCGGCCUGAGAGGGUGAACGGCCACACUGGAACUGAGAUACGGUCCAGACUCCUACGGGAGGCAGCAGUGGGGAAUAUUGGGCAAUGGGGGCAACCCUGACCCAGCGACGCCGCGUGGGGGAAGACGGCCUUCGGGUUGUAAACCUCUUUUGUACGGGAAGAAGGAAGUGACGGUACUGUACGAAUAAGUCCCGGCUAAGUACGUGCCAGCAGCCGCGGUAAUACGUAGGGGACGAGCGUUGUCCGGAAUUACUGGGCGUAAAGGGCGCGCAGGCUGUGCUGCAAGUCAGCUGUUAAAUGUCUGGGCUUAACCCGGGCAUGCGGUUGAGACUGCGGUGCUGGAGUGCUGUAGAGGCAAGUGGAAUUCCCCAGUGUAGCGGUGAAAUGCGUAGAUAUUGGGAAGAACACCGGUGGCGAAGGCGACUUGCUGGGCAGCAACUGACGCUGAGGCGCGAAAGCCAGGGGAGCAAACGGGAUUAGAUACCCCGGUAGUCCAUGGCCGUAAACGAUGAAUGCUAGGUGUGGGUGUAGAGAUACAUUCGUGCCGGAGUUAACGCGAUAAGCAUUCCGCCUGGGGAGUACGGUCGCAAGAUUGAAACUCAAAGGAAUUGACGGGGGCCCGCACAAGCGGUGGAGCACGUGGUUUAAUUCGAUGCAAA
rnacentral:rRNA from 1 species